GUAGGGAAUAUUGGUCAAUGGAGGCAACUCUGAACCAGCCAUGCCGCGUGUAGGAAGAAGGCGUUCUGCGUUGUAAACUACUUUUGAUUGGGAACAAAUGACUCUUGCGAGAGUAGCUGAGUGUACCAAUAGAAUAAGCCACGGCUAACUACGUGCCAGCAGCCGCGGUAAUACGUAGGUGGCAAGCGUUGUCCGGAUUUAUUGGGUUUAAAGGGUGCGUAGGCGGCUUGAUAAGUCAGUGGUGAAAGCCGAUCGCUUAACGAUCGAACUGCCAUUGAUACUGCCAGGCUUGAGUAUAGAUGAGGUAGGCGGAAUUGACAGUGUAGCGGUGAAAUGCAUAGAUAUUGUCAAGAACACCAAUUGCGAAGGCAGCUUACUAAGUUAUAACUGACGCUGAGGCACGAAAGUGCGGGGAUCAAACAGGAUUAGAUACCCUAGUAGUCC
rnacentral:rRNA from 1 species